AGUUGGAAUCCCGCUCUCCUUGCACGGAGGACUUCCCUUUCGCUAGGGCAGACUCACCGGAAGCUCACUCAGGCACAAGUUCUCUCUAGCUGAGCUGCCGCUGCUCCUCCUCCUCCUCUUCCCAGGUGAUUGAUUCCAGCUUGUGUCAAGUUGACAGACAGACAAACAAACAAAAACAGGAGAGAAGAGUCCCCACAGUGAUAAGAAGCAGCUGAGCUACAAGGCCAGAAGGGCUGCAGAGAGCCAGAGGAGCUGUCUGAAGACGUGAAGGAGAUCCUGUCUCAAGAAUCUGACGGAGACCUCAUGGCAGAAGGCCCAAGUCCAAGUCAGCUUCCCUCUGAGAUGCCCGAUCAAGACUCAGAUGAGCGACCUGGAGAGCAAGGUGAUCCCUGUGUGGAACAACAAGACCCAGUGGAAGUAGACGAGCCUAAAGAGUCAGGCCAGCCUGCCAGACCCAUUGCUUAUGUACGUUCGCAGAGGUCUGAGCCCACAGAGCCCACAGAGCCAGCCGGAGCUGCAGGA
rnacentral:lncRNA from 1 species